rnacentral:misc_RNA from 1 species
CCGAGUUCGGGCCUUCGGGUCCGCCCUCCAACCCUCUGUGAACACAACUUGUUGCUUCGGGGGCGACCCUGCCGUUUGCGCGGCGAGCGCCCCCGGAGGCCUCCAAACACUGCAUCUCUGCGUCGGAGUUUAAGUAAAUUAAACA